CCUACGGGUGGCAGCAGUAGGGAAUAUUGCUCAAUGGGGGAAACCCUGAAGCAGCAACGCCGCGUGGGGGCUGAAGGUUUUCGGAUUUUAAACUCCUUUUUUUAGGGAAGAUAAUGACGGUAUCUAACGAAUAAUCACCGGCUAAGUCCGGGCCAACAGCCGCGGUAAUACGGAGGGUGCAAGCGUUACUCGGAAUCAAUGGGCGUAAAGAGGGCGUAGGCGGGUUAGCCAGUCAGAUGGUAAAUCCGCGGGCGUAACCACAGAACUGCAUUUGAAACUGUUAUCCUAGAGUAUGGGAGAGGUAGGUGGAAUUCUUGGUGUAGGGGUAAAAUCCGUAGAGAUCAAGAGGAAUCCUCAUUGCGAAGGCGACAUGCUAGAACAUAACUGACGCUGAUGCGCGAAAGCGUGGGGAGCAAACAGGAUUAGAUACCCUUGUAGUC
rnacentral:rRNA from 1 species